UGUUCCCGCCCGGGAUCGAACCGGGGACCUUGUGCGUGUGAAGCACACGUGAUAACCGCUACACCACGGGAGAC